UACGGAGGGUGCGAGCGUUGUCCGGAAUCACUGGGCGUAAAGGGUGCGUAGGCGGCUUUCUAAGUCUGAUGUGAAAUCCUGGGGCUCAACCCCAGAACUGCAUUGGAUACUGGAAGGCUAGAGUACUGGAGAGGAAACUGGAAUUUACGGUGUAGCAGUGAAAUGCGUAGAGAUCGUAAGGAAGACCAGUGGCGAAGGCGAGUUUCUGGACAGUAACUGACGCUGAGGCACGAAGGCCAGGGGAGCAAACGGG
rnacentral:rRNA from 1 species